UCCAUUACAUCCAUCAUUCCCCUUCCUAAAGGAAUCCAUCUCCAUCCAAAGACACUACAUUUUCACAUCUCACAACCCCAUACACUUACACUUUCAUCCCUUGCCGUGACCUCCAUUUAGCCACUCCCCUUUCUUGUGCUGCAACAAGGUGGUGAAAAGAAAGUCCUUGGCGUUUCAAGCUUGAAGAUUGAAGCGUUUUAGGUGUACUUCGUUCUUGCUUUCAAUGUCUACUUUGUUAUUUUCUGAUUUUGUUGCAACUAUGAGUGGCUAAACCCCUAUUUAGUUAGGGGGAAGUUUGAAGCCAUGAACAUGCUUGAGAUAUGAAUUGAUUUCUUCCAAUUGUGAUUUGAUAAGUUGUGAUUGCAAUUCAAAUAUCUAUUUUAUUCAUAACUGAUUCUUGUAUGUUUAUUAAGGAUGCAUACUUAGUUUUCAUGCAUGAAUUAGAUGCUAGAAUAUAAAUGAGUUUUACCUAAUCGUUACAAGUUUAUAUUCAUGAGUAGUGAAGGUUGUUUAUCACAAUCGUGUUAAUUGAAUUCUUGGCAAAUGUAUCAUGCAUUCAUAGUUAUAAUUGCCUCGUCAACACUUAUGAUUUUCAUUGCACGUAAUGAUCUCUGAUUGUAUCUCUAUUAUGCAUUCAUAUAGGGGACUUUUAGAGAAUGAUUUGGGUUGUUGCAUGCAUUCAUCCAACUCAAUGAGUAAAGGAAAAUCUGAGGGUUAAUUUGUGCAUCACGGUUAAUCUGGGGUGUUGAGCAUCAUAGUUUAUUGAAAAGCAAUUGGAAAUUGAUUCAUGUACAAGUGUGUCAUGUG
rnacentral:lncRNA from 1 species